rnacentral:misc_RNA from 1 species
GAGGUAUUGGAGCUUGCUGGGAAUGCAGCGAGAGAUAACAAAAAGAACCGCAUUGUGCCGAGGCACAUUCAGCUUGCAGUAAGGAACGAUGAGGAGCUGAGCAAGCUUCUAGGCUCUGUAACAAUUGCCAAUGGUGGUGUACUGCCUAACAUUCAUCAGACUCUUCUUCCCAAGAAGAUUGGCAAGGGCAAAGGUGAUAUUGGAUCUGCUUCUCAGGAGUUCUAGGCCUUUUCCUUUGUCUCGGAUUGUUUUGCUUAUGGAUUCUACAGUUGUAAAAUAUUCUUUUUUGGUUUUUCUACUUGGAAUACAGUGGUAUUUUUUGA